GAUGAAGAACGCAGCGAAAUGCGAUAAGUAAUGUGAAUUGCAGAGUUCAGUGAAUCAUCGAGUCUUUGAACGCACAUUGCGCCCCCUGGUAUUCCGGGGGGCAUGCCUGUCCGAGCGUCAUUGCUGCCCUCAAGCACGGCUUGUGUGUUGGGCCCCCGUCCCCGGUUUCCCCCGGGGACGGGCCCGAAAGGCAGCGGCGGCACCGCGUCCGGUCCUCGAGCGUAUGGGGCUUUGUCACCCGCUCUGUAGGCCCGGCCGGCGCCAGCCGACACCCAACUUUAUUUCUAAGGUUGACCUCGGAUCAGGUAGGGAUACCCGCUGAACUUAAGCAUAUCAAUAAGCGGAGGA
rnacentral:misc_RNA from 1 species